AUGGCGCUGGAAGCUGUGGUGUUCCCGCAUGAGCACCUCGCGUGCAGCACGGACAAGGUGGCCGCGGCGAUGUCCAUGUACGCGCCGUCGCUGGGCCGCGGCAUCAGCAUUGUCGACGAGUUCGAGGAGAAGGGCGGCGUGGUGCUCCAAGAAGAGGUGCCCGGCGCCACCGCCUGGGCCGCGGCCUUCGAGGGGAACUGGGAGGAGAAUCACUGCCGGCCUGGGCCCGUGUCGCCGCCGGCUGCUGUCGCCCCGACAAGGCCCGCAGCGUCCGGCCGCGGCAAGGCCUCGUCGUCCGCGGCCGCGCGGAGGCGGCGGCGGCGCCCCAAGGCGGUGAAGAACAGGGAGGAGACGGAGAGCCAGCGGCGCAACCACAUCGCCGUGGAGCGCAACCGGCGGCGCCAGAUGAACGACUACCUGGCCGUGCUCCGGUCCGCCAUGCCGCCCUCCUACGCGCAGCGGGGUGACCAGGCGUCGAUCGUGGCCGGGGCCAUCAACUUCGUCAAGGAGCUGGAGCAGCUGCUGCAGUCGCUGGAGGCGCAGAAGCGGCGGCGCGCGCAGCUGGCGUCGACGCCGCCGUUCGCCGGGUUCUUCACGUCCCCUCAGUAUUCUACGGGUGCGGGCGCGGGCGCGGGCACUGCCGACGGCUCCGGGGACGCCGAGAGCCGCCGCGGGGCCCGGCGGGGCGUGGCCGACGUGGAGGUGGCCGUGGCGGAGAGCCACGCGAGCGUGAAGGUGCUGGCGCCGCGGCGGCCGAAGCAGCUGGUGAGGAUGGUGGUGGCGAUGCAGUGCCUUGGCCUCACCGUGCUCCACCUCAACGCCACCGCCACCGCCGACCACCUGGUCUUCUACUCCUUCAGCCUCAGGAUGGAGGAGGAGUGCCGGCUGUCAUCGGUGGACGAGAUCGCGGCGGCGGUGCACCAGAUGGUCGCCGAGGUGCACGCCGGAGGACCGUGCUAG
rnacentral:rRNA from 1 species